GGUGGUUCUCAGGUGAUGCACCCCAGAAUUGGGCUCCCUUCUCUCUGGUUCCGGGUGUGUCACAGGAGAACCACC
rfam:Myotis lucifugus cont2.32272, whole genome shotgun sequence.